ACGCGUUGGCCCAAUUGAUUGAUGGUGCUUGCACCUGAUUGAUUUUGGUCGCCAACGAGUGGCGGACGGGUGAGUAACACGUAGGUAACCUGCCCAGAAGCGGGGGACAACAUUUGGAAACAGAUGCUAAUACCGCAUAACAGCGUUGUUCGCAUGAACAACGCUUAAAAGAUGGCUUCUCGCUAUCACUUCUGGAUGGACCUGCGGUGCAUUAGCUUGUUGGUGGGGUAACGGCCUACCAAGGCGAUGAUGCAUAGCCGAGUUGAGAGACUGAUCGGCCACAAUGGGACUGAGACACGGCCCAUACUCCUACGGGAGGCAGCAGUAGGGAAUCUUCCACAAUGGGCGCAAGCCUGAUGGAGCAACACCGCGUGAGUGAAGAAGGGUUUCGGCUCGUAAAGCUCUGUUGUUAAAGAAGAACACGUAUGAGAGUAACUGUUCAUACGUUGACGGUAUUUAACCAGAAAGUCACGGCUAACUACGUGCCAGCAGCCGCGGUAAUACGUAGGUGGCAAGCGUUAUCCGGAUUUAUUGGGCGUAAAGAGAGUGCAGGCGGUUUUCUAAGUCUGAUGUGAAAGCCUUCGGCUUAACCGGAGAAGUGCAUCGGAAACUGGAUAACUUGAGUGCAGAAGAGGGUAGUGGAACUCCAUGUGUAGCGGUGGAAUGCGUAGAUAUAUGGAAGAACACCAGUGGCGAAGGCGGCUACCUGGU
rnacentral:rRNA from 1 species